UUGAGAGUUUGAUCCUGGCUCAGAACGAACGCUGGCGGCAGGCUUAACACAUGCAAGUCGAGCGCACUCUUCGGAGUGAGCGGCGGACGGGUUAGUAACGCGUGGGAACGUGCCCUUCUCUAAGGAAUAGCCACUGGAAACGGUGAGUAAUACCUUAUACGCCCUUCGGGGGAAAGAUUUAUCGGAGAAGGAUCGGCCCGCGUAAGAUUAGAUAGUUGGUGGGGUAACGGCCUACCAAGUCUACGAUCUUUAGCUGGUUUUAGAGGAUGAUCAGCAACACUGGGACUGAGACACGGCCC
rnacentral:rRNA from 1 species